GGCUCAGAUUGAACGCUGGCGGCAUGCUUUACACAUGCAAGUCGACGGUAACAGGCCGCAAGGUGCUGACGAGUGGCGAACGGGUGAGUAAUGCAUCGGAACGUGCCCAAUCGUGGGGGAUAACGCAGCGAAAGCUGCGCUAAUACCGCAUACGAUCUAAGGAUGAAAGCGGGGGACCGUAAGGCCUCGCGCGAUUGGAGCGGCCGAUGUCAGAUUAGGUAGUUGGUGGGGUAAAGGCUCACCAAGCCGACGAUCUGUAGCUGGUCUGAGAGGACGACCAGCCACACUGGGACUGAGACACGGCCCAGACUCCUACGGGAGGCAGCAGUGGGGAAUUUUGGACAAUGGGCGCAAGCCUGAUCCAGCAAUGCCGCGUGCAGGAAGAAGGCCUUCGGGUUGUAAACUGCUUUUGUACGGAACGAAACGGCUCUGGUUAAUACCUGGGGCUAAUGACGGUACCGUAAGAAUAAGCACCGGCUAACUACGUG
rnacentral:rRNA from 1 species